UCAGCGAAAGCAACAAAAAUCAUGUAACCUCUCUUCUUCCCCAAUUCCAUAAUUCAAAGAAUCUUCAAAUUUGGCAUAACUUCUUCGUUUCUCAUCCGAAUUGGACGACUCUCGCGGCAACUGAAAAAGGAGAGGAAGACCUACUGAAUUGUGGCAUCAAUGAAGGUAAGGAACGCAUCCUGGAGUUAAGGUUUCAGAUCUGAGUUUCGGAUUUUGAUUGUUAAUUUGGAAUUUUUGUGUGAUUGUUUGUGAAGAAUGACUAUGAGCUUGGAUGGAGUAUGUUUGAUGGUGAAUGUGUAUGGUUAACCUUCGGCCAAAGAGAUAACAAGCAAGACAUAUCGACGAGCUUCACGAUUAACGGCAUCGACUUAGUGGGGUUCAGCUGACGUAAAAUUAUCAUGAAAAAUUGGAUAGCAUGUCGAACCUAGAUUUGGGACUUGACUAGAAGUCCAUCUUUUGAUCGGAAGUCGUAGUCGCUGCAGUAGUAUAUCGUAUUGAUCGAGCCGUGGCCUAGUAUAGUAGUUUUAUAUAAUGUAUUUUUUAAUUGUUGUCUUGUACAAAAUGUAUUUUGUUGGCUAAGAUAAUUACGUUUUGUACACGGAGGUAGAUACCCGUGAUAUGAUCGUAAACACUAAUGUGUGUUUUUUUAUAAG